GACGAACGCUGGCGGCGUGCUUAACACAUGCAAGUCGAACGAAGUGGCGAACGGGUGAGUAACGCGUAAUCAACCUGCCCUUCAGAGGGGGACAACAGUUGGAAACGACUGCUAAUACCGCAUACUGAAGGAGGGGAUUGCGUCUGAUUAGCUAGUUGGAGGGGUAACGGCCCACCAAGGCGAGGAUCAGUAGGCGGGCUGGGAGGAUGAACGGCCACAAUGGGACUGGGAAACCGCCCAGACUCCUACGGGAGGCAGCAAUGGGGAAAUGUCCGAAAUGGACGAAAGUCUGACGGAGCAACGCCGCGUGGGUGAUGACGGUCUUCGGGUUGUAAAGCUCUGUUAAUCGGGACGCGGUACCGGAAGAGAAAGCCACGGCUAACUACGUGCCAGCAGCCGCGGUAAUUC
rnacentral:rRNA from 1 species